rnacentral:rRNA from 1 species
GUGCCAGCAGCCGCGGUAAGACAGAGGUGGCGAGCGUUGUUCGGAUUUAUUGGGCUUAAAGAGCGUGUAGGCGUCCCGAUAAGUCAGAUGUGAAAUCCUCCGACUUAAUCGGAGAACUGCAUUUGAGACUGUUGGGAUUGAGUGGGGGAUGGGAGGGUGGAAUUCCCGGUGUAGCGGUGAAAUGCGUAGAUAUCGGGGGGAACACCUGUGGCGAAGGCGGCCCUCUGGACCCUUACUGACGCUGAGACGCGAAAGCGUGGGGAGCAAACAGGAUUAGAAACCCUUGUAGUCC